rnacentral:snoRNA from 1 species
AUGCCUCUCUGAGAGAGCUGGAGCGGUUCAUGCCUGCUGCUCAGGUUUACAGCAAAGAGGCAAGACGAAGAGGGUCCUCGAGCUUCCUCUCUCUGGUUGUGGAAGCCAAGAUCGAAAGGGGGAACACGGGA